rnacentral:tRNA from 1 species
AAAUUUUUAGUUUAUAAAAAAUUUUAAAUUGCAAAUUUAAAGAAAUAUAAUUUUAUAUAAAAUUUU